AUUGAACGCUGGCGGAAUGCUUUACACAUGCAAGUCGAACGGCAGCACGGGGGCAACCCUGGUGGCGAGUGGCGAACGGGUGAGUAAUACAUCGGAACGUGCCCAGUCGUGGGGGAUAACGUAGCGAAAGCUACGCUAAUACCGCAUACGAUCUCUGGAUGAAAGCGGGGGACCGCAAGGCCUCGCGCGAUUGGAGCGGCCGAUGGCAGAUUAGGUAGUUGGUGGGGUAAAGGCUCACCAAGCCGACGAUCUGUAGCUGGUCUGAGAGGACGACCAGCCACACUGGGACUGAGACACGGCCCAGACUCCUACGGGAGGCAGCAGUGGGGAAUUUUGGACAAUGGGCGCAAGCCUGAUCCAGCCAUUCCGCGUGCAGGAUGAAGGCCCUCGGGUUGUAAACUGCUUUUGUACGGAACGAAAAGGCUUUUCCUAAUACGAGAAGCUGAUGACGGUACCGUAAGAAUAAGCACCGGCUAACUACGUGCCAGCAGCCGCCGCGGUAA
rnacentral:rRNA from 1 species